rnacentral:rRNA from 1 species
GGAUUAGAUACCCUGGUAGUCCUAGCCGUAAACGAUGGGCACUAAGUAGGGGGGCUCCCAAGGCCUCCCUGCCGGAGCUAAUGUGUUAAGUGCCCCGCCUGGGGAGUAUGGUCGCAAGGCUGAAACUCAAAGGAAUUGACGGGGGCUCACACAAGCGGUGGAGCAUGUUGUUUAAUUCGAUGCAACGCGAAGAACCUUACCUGGGCUUGACAUGUGCGUGGUACCAAACCGAAAGGGGCGGGACCUUCUUCGAAGGAGCGUACACAGGUAUUGCAUGGCUGUCGUCAGCUCGUGCCG